GAUGAAGAACGCAGCGAAAUGCGAUAAGUAAUGUGAAUUGCAGAAUUCAGUGAAUCAUCGAAUCUUUGAACGCACAUUGCGCCCGUCAGUAUUCUGGCGGGCAUACCUGUUCGAGCGUCAUUACGCCCCUCAAGUCCCCUGUGGACUUGGUGUUGGGGAUCGGCGAGGCUGGUUUUCCAGCACAGCCGUCCCUUAAAUUAAUUGGCGGUCUCGCCGUGGCCCUCCUCUGCGCAGUAGUAAAACACUCGCAACAGGAGCCCGGCGCGGUCCACUGCCGUAAAACCCCCCAACUUUUUAUAGUUGACCUCGAAUCAGGUAGGACUACCCGCUGAACUUAAGCAUAUCAAUAAGCGGAGGA
rnacentral:misc_RNA from 1 species